rnacentral:rRNA from 1 species
UACGGAGGGUGCAAGCGUUAUCCGGAUUCACUGGGUUUAAAGGGUGCGUAGGAGGGCAGGUAAGUCAGUGGUGAAAUCUCCGAGCUUAACUUGGAAACUGCCGUUGAUACUAUCUGUCUUGAAUAUUGUGGAGGUGAGCGGAAUAUGUCAUGUAGCGGUGAAAUGCUUAGAGAUGACACAGAACACCGAUUGCGAAGGCAGCUCACUACGCAGUUAUUGACGCUGAGGCACGAAAGCGUGGGGAUCAAACAGG